rnacentral:rRNA from 1 species
GAUGAACGCUGGCGGCGUGCCUAAUACAUGCAAGUCGAGCGAACGGACGAGAAGCUUGCUUCUCUGAUGUUAGCGGCGGACGGGUGAGUAACACGUGGAUAACCCACCUAUAAGACUGGGAUAACUUCGGGAAACCGGAGCUAAUACCGGAUAAUAUUUUGAACCGCAUGGUUCAAAAGUGAAAGACGGUCUUGCUGUCACUUAUAGAUGGAUCCGCGCUGCAUUAGCUAGUUGGUAAGGUAACGGCUUACCAAGGCAACGAUGCAUAGCCGACCUGAGAGGGUGAUCGGCCACACUGGAACUGAGACACGGUCCAGACUCCUACGGGAGGCAGCAGUAGGGAAUCUUCCGCAAUGGGCGAAAGCCUGACGGAGCAACGCCGCGUGAGUGAUGAAGGUCUUCGGAUCGUAAAACUCUGUUAUUAGGGAAGAACAUAUGUGUAAGUAACUGUGCACAUCUUGACGGUACCUAAUCAGAAAGCCACGGCUAACUACGUG